rnacentral:lncRNA from 1 species
CAAACCUAUUCCUUUGGGUUAAGUUGGUGCUUUGGUCUUACUGCAGAAGGUGAGUGUCAUAGUGUCUUGCUUUCUAGCAUGAAACUGCCAAAGCUAAUAUAAAUCUGUAGCAUCUUGGAGGCACAACAAGAUAAACUGUUGUUGAUCUAUGUGACAAAGAGUGUUCUUGCUUUCCUUUGUUGCUACAUACCUUGACUUGUGGGAUGCAGCAUGGUUCAGGUCUGCCUUUGGCUGCUGUCACUGUUUUCUGUUCCUGCUGAUGUUUGUAUGCAGUUGGCACACCUGGGCUGCUGGCCGUGUUACCCAGGACUCACCUCCUUGCGAUUCUUCCUGGUGAGGCUCUGCCAUGCUUGAACCAGGGCAUCCUUUCUCUUGGCAGCCCUGCUGGUGCCGAUCCAUUGGGGCUCUGAACAUCAGAAUGGCACUGGGCCUCCAUGAAGUUCCUUAAGGAGGACAACAGAGGAAUGUUGGAUCCUAUGUGGCUGAUGUGUGGAUGUGAUAUUCAGAAAGCUAAUCCUUGACAGCAACAAAUUGGAAGUUCCUGGGCUUGCAAAUAAAUGUGGGUAUUUUCAUCAGACCUUCAUAUUUUCUUCAGUAACUGUGAAAUCAAAAGCACUUCUAAAAAUCCAUCGAGAACACUUUGGAGUCGUGGGGAAUAUCCAGGUUGGUCUGCUAGAAUUACUGGAUGGAAGAGACAGUGGAAAAUAAUAGUUGGCCACACUGGUCUCAGGAAAACAGGGCGGAAAUGGGUAAAGCCAUUAUGAAAACCAAUUUACCCUAGAAACCUGUAACUACAUAGGCUUUUUUUUAUUGUUAUUUCUGAACUCAGAGCUCUGUGUGAUUAAUGGAUCAAACAGUGUAAGCUAGACCUGAAAUGUCUGUUCGAAAAUAUUAUGUUAAAUGCUCCUGCUCAUUUGCAUACUGUCUGCCUGUUAAUAAAGUCACAGGAGAGGAAGAAAGCUGUAGAACUGUCUUAUCUGUACAAAUAACACCUUGCAUUUUGGAAACAGAGUGAUCUGCUUUGGAGGCCUCUGCUGCAGUAUUAGAUGACCACAGAGGACGCUGCUUUCAAAAGCAACACAGCUGAGCCUCCUGCCAGAGCUCUGCUCUGUAGCACUCACAUUUAGUGCUGGACAAACCAACCUAUGAUGUGUUUCCCAUGGUGCUGUGCAACCCCUCUGAGCUCCAGCAAGGAGGAUUUAAAAAGAAAUAGAGCAAAAGACAAGGACAGAUUUAAUGAGGGUUUUUGCUGUGCAAAGUCUAUGGCAUGAGGGCCAAAAUAAUGGGGAAGGAAUAGGUUGGUUUGCACAAGGCAGGCACUGUGCUGCUGCACCACUUCACCCUGCUAAUGCUGUACAAUGGGAUUCUGCUGAAACUCGGAUGUUGGCGAGCUCUGCUCUGGCUUCCUGCACAAAGACAAAUGUUAUGCUACUCUCAAGUAUGCCUGGAAUGUAAUUCUGCUGCCCUGCCAUUCAUUUGUGGUGCCUUUUCACAUUUGUGCUAAUGAGAGUUCUUUUCCAGAACUCCAGAAACACUUGGGUGAUGUUCGCACUGUGAAAUAAACAUUUAUUUGUGGUUUGGA